rnacentral:rRNA from 1 species
UCAUUAGUUUUUUAAUUGAAAGCUUGUAUGAAUGGUUUGAUGAGAAAAUUUCUGUCUCAAUUUUAAUUUUUUAAAAUUUUAUUUUUAAGUAAAAAAGCUUAAAUAAAUUUAAAAGACGAGAAGACCCUAUAGAGUUUUAUUUAAAAUAUUUUUAAAAAUUUUAGAAUUAUUUUUUUUUAAUAUUAUUUUAAAUUGGGUUGGGGUGAUUAAAAAAUUAAAGUAACUUUUUUUUUAUUUAAACAUUAAUAUAUGAAUAAUUGAUCCAUAAAAAUGAUUAAAAGAUUAAAUUACCUUAGGGAUAACAGCGUAAUUUUUUUUUAGAGUCCUUAUUGAAAAAAAAGAUUGCGACCUCGAUGUUGGAUUAAAAUUUAUUUUUGGUGUAAAAGCUAAAA